AGUGGGGAAUAUUGGACAAUGGGCGAAAGCCUGAUCCAGCAAUGCCGCGUGAGUGAUGAAGGCCUUAGGGUUGUAAAGCUCUUUUACCCGGGAUGAUAAUGACAGUACCGGGAGAAUAAGCCCCGGCUAACUCCGUGCCAGCAGCCGCGGUAAUACGGAGGGGGCUAGCGUUGUUCGGAAUUACUGGGCGUAAAGCGCGCGUAGGCGGCUUUGUAAGUCAGAGGUGAAAUCCCGGGGCUCAACCCCGGAACUGCCUUUGAAACUGCAUCGCUUGAAUCCGGGAGAGGUGAGUGGAAUUCCGAGUGUAGAGGUGAAAUUCGUAGAUAUUCGGAAGAACACCAGUGGCGAAGGCGGCUCACUGGACCGGUAUUGACGCUGAGGUGCGAAAGCGUGGGGAGCAAA
rnacentral:rRNA from 1 species